UACGAAGGGGGCUAGCGUUGCUCGGAAUUACUGGGCGUAAAGGGCGCGUAGGCGGAUGACUAAGUCGGGGGUGAAAGCCCGGGGCUCAACCUCGGAACUGCCUUCGAUACUGGUCAUCUUGAGUACGGGAGAGGUGUGUGGAACUCCGAGUGUAGAGGUGAAAUUCGUAGAUAUUCGGAAGAACACCAGUGGCGAAGGCGACACACUGGCCCGUUACUGACGCUGAGGCGCGAAAGCGUGGGGAGCAAAC
rnacentral:rRNA from 1 species